GUGAUUGUUAUAAAAUAAUUCCUCUUUGCCGAUCAUCUGCAAGUGUAGUUGUCACAGACGCAUUCAGGGACCUCCUCUGGUGUCUUAGCCGAGGACACUGAGUGCUCCUGCACCCCUGCACUGUGGCAUCAGUAUUCCAGACCCGUUCAUGGACACGGCGUUCCUGCUGAAGGCUGCAGCCCGGUGCUCCUCCCGCCAAGCACCAACAGGGGGCGCUCAAUUCGCAAUCAAAACGCAGCAGCUCUUUUAGUGCAUUAAAAAAAACAGUUAAAUGUUAGAUUUACCAUAAAGAAAAAAGGCUGAGAUGAUUUUGAAAGCUACCCUGUCCACGCCAGGCUUUCUGCCGUCUCAGAAGCUUUCAGAGGAUGGUGCUUGUCUCAGCUGUUCGGGUGACGUGACUUUGUCAUUCCAUGGCUGUGUGUUUGCUCCACUGAUUUUUUUUUCUGUCUUUCUUUUCCAGCUGGUGGAAGCGUGCAUAUAGCUCUCAGUUGCCAGUCAACUUUACAUGACCGAAAAAUAACCUGGGAGGAUAACAGCAGUUCAUUUUUCAUUCUUGCUUGAGAGGUGGAGGGCUGUGACAAUACGUCUAUCCGCAGGUGAGAGAUGAGGCUCACCUGACUGACAGUGACACCACACAACCCUUUACAACAAUCCGAACUGAAUGUUAGUGUGCUUUAGACCAACAAUUAAAUACAUUAUUGUUUGUAUUUUGAGGAUAUUGUUCUAAAAAACACUUUUAAAAAAUCCAUGGAUCCUCCUUGGAAAACAUGUUCUAUAAUCCCCUUUAUUGCGCUUCAAUUUUAAUAGCCUAACAUUUGAUCUACUCUCUGUUUUUAGAGGAAUUAUUAAUUAAUUUGUGGUUAUUUUUCCUCAGGUUACAAUUUGUAAA